GCUUAACACAUGCAAGUCGAACGCGAAAGUUGGACUUCGGUCCGCGAGUAGAGUGGCGAACGGGUGAGUAACACGUAGGAAUCUGUCCUAAAGCGGGGGACAACUCCGCGAAAGCGGAGCUAAUACCGCAUAAUUUUCAAGUCUUCGGGGCUUGAAAAAAAGCAGGGGACCCUUCGGGGCCUUGUACUUUUAGGAGGAGCCUGCGCCGGAUUAGCUUGUUGGUGGGGUAAUGGCCUACCAAGGCGACGAUCCGUAGCUGGUCUGAGAGGACGAUCAGCCACACUGGGACUGAGACACGGCCCAGACUCCUACGGGAGGCAGCAGUGGGGAAUAUUGGACAAUGGGCGCAAGCCUGAUCCAGCCAUGCCGCGUGAGUGACGAAGGCCCUAGGGUUGUAAAGCACUUUCAGCAGUGAGGAAAGGGGUGUCGUUAAUAGCGCCAUCCUGUGACGUUAACUGCAGAAGAAGGACCGGCUAACUCCGUG
rnacentral:rRNA from 1 species